rnacentral:rRNA from 1 species
AGGACGAACGCUGGCGGCGUGCUUAACACAUGCAAGUCGAGCGGAAAGGCCCUUCGGGGUACUCGAGCGGCGAACGGGUGAGUAACACGUGAGUAACCUGCCCCUAGCUCUGGGAUAGCUCCGGGAAACCGGGAUUAAAUACCAGAUACGACCACUUUAGACAUCUGUCGUGGUGGAAAGGAUUCCGGCUAGGGAUGGGCUACGCGGGCCUAUCAGCUUGUUGGUGGGGUAACGGCCCACCAAGGCGACGACGGGUA